rnacentral:rRNA from 1 species
UACGGAGGAUGCGAGUGUUAUCCGGAAUCACUGGGCGUAAAGCGUCUGUAGGUUGUUUGCUAAGUCUGCUGUUAAAGCUUGAAGCUCAACUUCAAAAAUGCAGCGGAAACUAGUAGAACUUGAGUGUGGUAGGGGUAGAGGGAAUUUCCAGUGAAGUGGUGAAAUGCGUAGAUAUUGGAAAGACCACCAAUGGCGAAGGCACUCUACUGGGCCACUACUGACACUGGAGAGACGAAAGCUAGGGGAGCGAAUGGGAUUAGAAACCCCCUGGUAG